UCUUCGUGUUAUUCUUCCGUCGCACGUAUAAUAUAGUACGCGUCGCGAUUAAUGUUGAAGGUGUCAUGCGAAGUAAUUAAUUCGCACGCGCGAUCUUGUAUUCACGAAUGAGUGCCAUGGGAGAAAAGGACAAGAGGAGCGCGGAAGAGAACGAGAUUAGAGAUUAGAGUCGCGCCGAACAACGGUAGAGCAACAGUGUGUGAGAAUUGUUAGUAAUUUAUCCGAUGAUAAAGCUGGAAGCGCACAAUAAGAGGAUAAUUUUUCGCUACUUUUAACUUCAGCAAAAAACAGCGCAUAUAAAAGUAUACCAUUGUUACAAACUUCUACAUCCCAUACAACCCGCCUAGAAGAUGCAGGCAUGUUCAACACAAGCAGACCAACAAAAAGUAAUGUUCAAAUCAGAGAUAAAUUUGCAACAUUUUUCGAAACCACC